rnacentral:rRNA from 1 species
GACGAACGCUGGCGGCGUGCUUAACACAUGCAAGUCGAGCGGUAAGGCCCUUUCGGGGUACGACGAGCGGCGAACGGGUGAGUAACACGUGGGUGGACCUGCCCUUAGCUCUGGGAUAAGCCUGGGAAACUGGGUCGUAAUACCGGAUAUGACUCCAUGACGCAUGUUGUGGGGUGGAAAGCCUUGUGCGGCUAGGGAUGGGCCCGCGGCCUAUCAGCUUGUUGGUGGGGUGAUGGCCUACCAAGGCGACGACGGGUAGCCGGCCUGAGAGGGCGACCGGCCACACUGGGACUGAGACACGGCCCAGACUCCUACGGGAGGCAGCAGUGGGGAAUCUUGCGCAAUGGGCGAAAGCCUGACGCAGCGACGCCGCGU